rnacentral:lncRNA from 1 species
GUAUAAGACAUUUUCAUGUUGGCAAAGUAUAAUACUGUAAUCCGUUCAGCUAGCUCUUCAAUUCCAUUGAAAGUUGUAUUUCUAAGAGGGAAAAAAGUAUGAUUCCUGCUUUGAUGCCAAAACUGCCAUAUGGCUUUUAACUUUUUAUCUUUAAAGAUUUUACCUGGUCCUUAUGGGAUUUAAGAGAAAUUGACUUUCAAGCCAACUUCACUUGAUCCUUUACCCUUGGAAAUACAAAGUUGGUAAUACCAAGCUACAUCAUUUAUGACUA